rnacentral:snRNA from 1 species
GGUUGUGAGAGCGAUCUGGCUGUGACAUCUGUCACCCCAUUGUUUGCCAGGCUUGAUUAGACUGAUCUGGCUGGCUAGGUGGUUGUCCCCUUCCUCCCUUACCUCUCCAUGUGCGUCCCUCCCAAAGCUGCAUGCUCCCCGAAUAGAGGAGGACUGGUCUUAGUUCUCC